rnacentral:rRNA from 1 species
AGUGAACGCUGGCGGUAGGCCUAACACAUGCAAGUCGAACGGCAGCACAGUAAGAGCUUGCUCUUACGGGUGGCGAGUGGCGGACGGGUAAGGAAUACAUCGGAAUCUACUUUUUCGUGGGGGAUAACGUAGGGAAACUUACGCUAAUACCGCAUACGACCUACGGGUGAAAGUAGGGGAUCUUCGGACCUUGCGCGAUUGAAUGAGCCGAUGUCGGAUUAGCUAGUUGGCGGGGUAAAGGCCCACCAAGGCGACGAUCCGUAGCUGGUCUGAGAGGAUGAUCAGCCACACUGGAACUGAGACACGGUCCAGACUCCUACGGGAGGCAGCAGUGGGGAAUAUUGGACAAUGGGCGCAAGCCUGAUCCAGCCAUACCGCGUGGGUGAAGAAGGCCUUCGGGUUGUAAAGCCCUUUUGUUGGGAAAGAAAAGCAGCAGGUUAAUACCCCGCUGUUCUGACGGUACCCAAAGAAUAAGCACCGGCUAACUUCGUG